AUUAAAGAUGAACACAGAGAGAUGAGACUGUUUGUGAACCAACAGACCUUAAAAACCUCCUGCUGUGUUUCUCUGCUAUGGAUCAGUGUGAGGACAGAGAGGAGGGAGUCCCUCCCUCUAAAAGCUCUCUGUGUGGGGAACAUGACAGCCAGACCAAAGCUCAGAGGAUGCAGCAGCAGAGAGCAGACUCUCCUGAACCCAGCUGUGUGUCCAUGAAGAGUGACCGGUCUAUGAUACUUCCUAUUAAGUUUAAAGAUGGACAACCUGCUGAAGG